ACCUGACUGCUAUCGGAUUGAUACUAAGCCAUGCGAGUCAUUGUAGCAAUACAAGGCAUACGGCUCAGUAACGCGUAGUCAACCUAACCUAUGGACGGGAAUAACCUCGGGAAACUGAGAAUAAUGCCCGAUAGAACACUAUACCUGGAAUGGUUUGUGUUCCAAAUGAUUUAUCGCCAUAGGAUGGGACUGCGGCCUAUCAGUUUGUUGGUGAGGUAAUGGCCCACCAAGACUAUUACAGGUACGGGCUCUGAGAGGAGUAGCCCGGAGAUGGGUACUGAGACACGGACCCAGGCCCUAUGGGGCGCAGCAGGCGAGAAAACUUUGCAAUGUGCGAAAGCACGACAAGGUUAAUCCGAGUGAUUUGUGCUAAACGAAUCUUUUGUUAGUCCUAGAAACACUAACGAAUAAGGGGUGGGCAAGUUCUGGUGUCAGCCGCCGCGGUAAAACCAGCACCUCAAGUGGUCAGGAUGAUUAUUGGGCCUAAAGCAUCCGUAGCCGGCUCUGUAAGUUUUCGGUUAAAUCUGUACGCUUAACGUACAGGCUGCCGGGAAUACUGCAGAGCUAGGGAGUGGGAGAGGUAGACGGUACUCGGUAGGAAGUGGUAAAAUGCUUUAAUCUAUCGAUGACCACCUGUGGCGAAGGCGGUCUACCAGAACACGUCCGACGGUGAGGGAUGAAAGCUGGGGGAGCAAACCGGAUUAGAUACCCGGGUAGUCCCAGCUGUAAACUAUGCAAACUCAGUGAUGCAUUGGCUUGUGGCCAAUGCAGUGCUGCAGGGAAGCCGUUAAGUUUGCCGCCUGGGAAGUACGUACGCAAGUAUGAAACUUAAAGGAAUUGGCGGGGGAGCACCACAAGGGGUGAAGCCUGCGGUUC
rnacentral:rRNA from 1 species